rfam:Azospirillum brasilense Sp245 plasmid AZOBR_p4 complete genome
GAGUUUGAUCCUGGCUCAGAACGAACGCUGGCGGCAUGCCUAACACAUGCAAGUCGAACGAGGGCUUCGGCCCUAGUGGCGCACGGGUGAGUAACACGUGGGAACCUGCCUUUCGGUUCGGGAUAACGUCUGGAAACGGACGCUAACACCGGAUACGUCCUUCGGGAGAAAGUUUACGCCGAGAGAGGGGCCCGCGUCCGAUUAGGUAGUUGGUGGGGUAAUGGCCCACCAAGCCGACGAUCGGUAGCUGGUCUGAGAGGAUGAUCAGCCACACUGGGACUGAGACACGGCCCAGACUCCUACGGGAGGCAGCAGUGGGGAAUAUUGGACAAUGGGGGCAACCCUGAUCCAGCAAUGCCGCGUGAGUGAUGAAGGCCUUAGGGUUGUAAAGCUCUUUCGCACGCGACGAUGAUGACGGUAGCGUGAGAAGAAGCCCCGGCUAACUUCGUGCCAGCAGCCGCGGUAAUACGAAGGGGGCGAGCGUUGUUC